CCUACGGGCGGCUGCAGUGGGGAAUUUUACGCAAUGGGGGAAACCCUGACGUAGCGACACCGCGUGAGCGAAGAAGCCCUUUGGGGUGUAAAGCUCUGUCAGCUGGAACGAAAAAAAUGACGGUACCAGCAGAGGAAGCAUCGGCUAACUACGUGCCAGCAGCCGCGGUAAGACGUAGGAUGCGAGCGUUGUCCGGAUUCAUUGGGCGUAAAGAGUUCGUAGGUGGUUUGUUAAGUCUGAUGUUAAAGAUCGGGGCUCAACCCUGAGACUGCAUUGGAUACUGGCAGACUUGAGUAUGGUAGAGGCUAGUGGAAUUCCCAGUGUAGCGGUGAAAUGCGUAGAUAUUGGGAAGAACACCGGUGGCGUAGGCGACUAGCUGGGCCAUAACUGACGCUGAGGAACGAAAGCCAGGGUAGCGAAUGGGAUUAGAUACCCCGGUAGUC
rnacentral:rRNA from 1 species